rnacentral:tRNA from 1 species
GGAGCUGUGCCUGAACUGAAGGGCCACUUUGAUAGAGUGAACUACGGGGGUUAGAAUCCCCCCGGCUCCU